UAGGUUUAUGUCAAACACAGAGAACCUCAACGCCAACGCCAAGCUCCUUCCCCCAUUUGUCGACGACGUGUGCACUUCGGCGUUUUCGUUUUGGCUUUGUACCAAUAAAGGGGUUAGUUUCCAUUCCCUGCGAUGGUCGAUAAAAGUCAAGUGAUCAGCCUCUGUCGUUCCCUGCUUCGAGCGGGGCGUCAGUACCCUGACUACAACAUCAGGCAGUACGCUAAGCGAAGGACCUUGGAUGGGUUCCGCAUGAACAAGAAUCUCACCGACCAUUCUAAGGUGGAGGAGGCUUAUAAUGAAGGUAAGGCGCAGCUGGAGGUUGUAGAGAGGGUGGUUAAGGUUUACUUGGCGUAUCCUCCAAAGACCAAGAACAUCAUGGAACUCAAGCUUCAGUAGUUUGAUGUAUGUUUGUCAUUAUUGUUAUUGGUUCAUGUUUCUUAGUUCUUUCUCAACUAUGAAACAUUGCUUUGUGCGAUUCUCAUGUUAUCUUUGUGUCUUGAUGGCAUCGGUACCCUUUAUUAAGUGAAGAGAGGAUCAGAGAAUAAUCUUGGAUUAGAGCAGGGAUAAAGAGUGUUUUUUUUGUUGAUUAUCAUUAAUAAUAAAUGUCCCACUAUUUUGCAGUUGCUGCAUUUUAGUGUUCUCAA